rnacentral:rRNA from 1 species
GACGAACGCUGGCGGCGUGCCUAAUACAUGCAAGUCGAGCGAGCGGAACCAACAGAUUUACUUCGGUAAUGACGUUGGGAAAGCGAGCGGCGGAUGGGUGAGUAACACGUGGGGAACCUGCCCCUAAGUCUGGGAUACCAUUUGGAAACAGGUGUUAAUACCGGAUAAUAAAGCAGAUCGCAUGAUCAGCUUUUGAAAGGCGGCGUAAGCUGUCGCUAAGGGAUGGCCCCGCGGUGCAUUAGCUAGUUGGUAAGGUAACGGCUUACCAAGGCGACGAUGCAUAGCCGAGUUGAGAGACUGAUCGGCCACAUUGGGACUGAGACACGGCCCAAACUCCUACGGGAGGCAGCAGUAGGGAAUCUUCCACAAUGGACGCAAGUCUGAUGGAGCAACGCCGCGUGAGUGAAGAAGGUUUUCGGAUCGUAAAGCUCUGUUGUUGGUGAAGAAGGAUAGAGGUAGUAACUGGCCUUUAUUUGACGGUAAUCAACCAGAAAGUCACGGCUAAC